CUGAGCCCACCUCAUAUCCCAACCCCUCCAGGCUCUCGCUGUAACUAACCGAGAACGCUCCUUGUGUCUCUCAGCAGUGUAGUCCGCGGAAGAUGUUAACUGUCGAGGCGGACGGUAACAGUAAGGAUCGAGCACUUCCACGCAUUGGGACUACUUUUCAGGAGAGUCCUGAAUGAAUUCGAUAUCGAUUAGAAUUCCCUGCUUUGAUGGGUCUGUCACUGGAAAUAUUGGGAGGCGCUUGCAGCCGACAGUGGACAUUCGGUAGACGGGAUCUCCAGCAUCUGCAGAUCUUUAUUCUGUACUAGUGUGCAGUGAAAUUCUUUUAGAUAAUGUUAAUGUGAAGCAAGUGCUUAAUGAUUACUAAAAAAUAAGAAAAUUGCGGAUGCUGUAUCCAGUCCUUCCCUGCCUCCUCCAAAGAACAGAGGACCAUUCCCCAGUGAACAUCCUUCACUUCACAUGGCCACUGGUGCAAUGAAAACAAUCUGUCCUUCAACAUUGAUAAGACUAAAGAACUGACUUCAGAAAGAAAGGAGAACACACCCUCAUCUGCAUCAAUGGAACUGAGGGUGAAGGGUGAAGAGCAUCAAAUUCCUCAGAGUGACGAUAACCAAUAUACUGCCCUGGAGUUCCCACGUGGAUGUGACAGUCAAGCAGGCACAACAAUGCCUCUGCUUCCUUAGAUAGCUCAGGAAAUUGGGCAUAUCCAUAAGGUCCCUCACUAACGUCUACAGAGGCACCAUUGAAAAGCAAACUGUCCGGGUGCAUAAUGGCCUGGGAUGGCAACUGCUGUGCCCACGACCGUAAGAAACCAGAGGGUGGUGUGCACAGCCCAGACCAUCAUGGAAGCCAACCUUCCAUCCAUGGACUCCAUUUACACAGCUCACUGCCGCGUAAAGGCUACCAACAUCCAAGACCAGUUGCACCCCGGUAAUGACAUCCGAGAACCUCGCCACCAGGCGGAAGAUACAGAAGCCCGAACACAUGCAUGCGCAGGUUCAGGGACAGCUUCUUCCUGGCCAUUAUCAGACUGUUGAAUGGAUCCUCUAGCCUCAAAUAAUGCUGAUCUUGCUAAUGUUGAUCUUGUGUAGCGCAAGUAACCUGUAUGCCUCUGUCUAAGUAUUUUUGAUCUGUACAUCCUUUGGUUACUAUUAUCUGCCUGUACCACACGUAAAUAAAGCU